GAAGAAAACAUUUCCUUUCUUCUUCGCCUUUGAAGGGAAUUGAAAGAAAUCGAGGCAGCCAGUCCAUGGGUGAUUCUACCCCAAAUCUGAGUGCCCUGCCCGUCCAUGGAGCGAUGUUGUACCAAAUUGCUAGCGGAAAAAGAAACUGAUGCUGCCGCCCCAAAUUUGAGUGCCCUCCCGUACAUGGGGAGAUGUUGUACCAAAUUGUAAGUGUUGUUCUUGUACCAGAUUGAUUUGCUUGCCCAUCCAUGGCCAAAUCUUGGAGGAGGUGACGUUUGUGGCCAGUUUUUGCCGAGGGCAGGACAUGCGCUGCGGAUCAGGUCUUGCCCACCAGCGAGGCCGUCCAUUGGCGCUCGGACAUAUAGCUUUGUGAUUUGGUUGAGGGGCCAUCUUCUGUGUGUUGUUCCUGUCGUCUUAGGCUGUAGACGUACUGACAGGUAUGAAUCCCUUUGUGCUAUCCCAUUUGCCUCUUGCUUUGCAUAAUGUGCAUCAUAAUUUCAUUAACAUAUUUUUUCUGUUGAAUUAAAUUUGGAUAUUUGGCUAUACGUUUUCCAAAAUUAGAAGCUUUCAUGUUUAUAUUGUAGCAGAUUAUGCGUUGUAAUUUCAUCCCAUAUUAGAAAUUGUUUAGUAAAAUAUCCAUGCGACAAACACGCUCAAGAUUGAAUAAAGAAG
rnacentral:lncRNA from 1 species